GGUCUAAAGGAUUGUCUCUAGA
rnacentral:miRNA from 1 species